ACUGGGCACAGUGGUGUAUGCCUGUAAUCCCAGUGACUCAGGAGGUUGAGGCAGGAGGGCAAGUUUGAGGCCAGCCUCGGCAAUUUAGAAAGACCCUGUCUCAA
rnacentral:sRNA from 1 species